GGGCUGGGCCCCCGAACUCACGUAGUUGGAAGUACACCAGGACUUGAGUUGCAAAUAGAGCUGUAGCCGUGGUGCGUGCAACCUCAGGAAGUCAUUUGCCAGCGCUGUAGCGCGGUCGAAAGCGUCGUCUCCGAGCACAGGGCGUACAGACUCUAGGGAGAGAAAUGAAUAGAGGGUACCCCAGAAGCUGUGCAGUGGACCAAGCCUGCAGAAUGGGCACUGGCGACAACCACGUCUGACAGACAUUUAUUUACCUUAUAAAGUGGGCCUAGGGAAGGGUCCAGCUGGAGGAGACAGGCAAGCUGGAUUGUACUGAAGAGGAAGAGCCAGCUGAGGGGGGUUGCAGGGACCACACCAGCAAGAAAGUCAUUCUGUGGUGAGAAAGGAGAGGCUCACUCUUGGGAGCUUCUAGGGUCUCGGAUGUGGGCAGAGCACAGGAUUCCUUUUACUGAAUGUAUUUAGUAAGGAGUUGGAAGCAUGGUAUAACUUUUGCUUAUUCCCCAAUAAGGAGCUUAGGCUGGGACAGGGACUCUUCCUAGAAUCCACAAUGGGGUGUUAGUGGAGGCAUGGCUUG
rnacentral:lncRNA from 1 species